rnacentral:rRNA from 1 species
UACGUAGGGGGCAAGCGUUGUCCGGAAUUAUUGGGCGUAAAGGGCUCGUAGGCGGUCUGUUGCGUCGGUAGUGAAAACUCAGGGCUUAACCCUGAGCCUGCUUCCGAUACGGGCAGACUAGAGGUAUGCAGGGGAGAACGGAAUUCCUGGUGUAGCGGUGAAAUGCGCAGAUAUCAGGAGGAACACCGGUGGCGAAGGCGGUUCUCUGGGCAUUACCUGACGCUGAGGAGCGAAAGUGUGGGGAGCGAACAGG